UACGAAGGGAGCAAGUGUUAUUCGGAUUUACUGGGCGUAAAGGGCGCGUAGGCGGUUUAUUAAGUCAGUUGUUAAAUAUCACUGCUUAACGGUGAAGAGGCAAUUGAUACUGAUUGAACUAGAGGGUGGAAGAGAGGAGUGGAAUUCUCGGAGUAGCGGUAAAAUGCGUAGAUCUCGAGAGGAACACCAAUUGCGAAGGCAGCUCCUUGGUCCAUACCUGACGCUGAGGCGCGAAAGCGUGGGUAGCAAACAGG
rnacentral:rRNA from 1 species